rnacentral:rRNA from 1 species
GAUGAACGCUAGCUACAGGCUUAACACAUGCAAGUCGAGGGACCGGCGCACGGGUGAGUAACACGUAUCCAACCUGCCCUUAACUCUGUGAUAGCCUGUCACAAGCAAGAUUCAUACCCGAGAUAAAAGAUGGGGAUGCGUUCCAUGAGGUUGUUGGUGCGGGAAUGCCUAACCACGCCUUCGAUGGAUAGGGAUGCUGAGAGGAAGGUCCCCCACAUGGGAACUGAGACACGGUCCAAACGCCUAUGUGAGGCAGCAGUGAGGAAUAUGGGUCAAUGGGCGCUAGCCUGAACCAGCCAAGGAGCGUGCAGGAUGAAGGCUUAUGGGUAGUAAACUUCGUUUAUAUAAGAAUAUGUAUUAUAUGAAUAAGGAUCGGCUAACUCCGUGCCAGCCGCCGCGGUAAUUC